rnacentral:rRNA from 1 species
GACGGGGGCCCGCACAAGCGGAGGAACAUGUGGUUUAAUUCGAUGAUACGCGAGGAACCUUACCCGGGCUCAAACGCGCAGAGACAGUUGCGGAAACGCAAUCUCCCCUCGGGGCCCUGUGCGAGGUGCUGCAUGGUUGUCGUCAGCUCGUGCCGUGAGGUGUCGGCUUAAGUGCCAUAACGAGCGCAACCCCCAUCUUCAGUUGCCACCGUGUGAUGGCGGGCACUCUGGAGAGACUGCCGGCGCAAGCUGUGAGGAAGGCGGGGAUGACGUCAAAUCAGCACGGCCCUUACGUCCGGGGCGACACACGUGUUACAAUGGCGGGGCACAGAAGGAAGCCAGGCGGCGACGCCGAGCCGAUCCCAAAAACCCGUCUCAGUUCGGAUCGGAGUCUGCAACCCGACUCCGUGAAGCUGGAUUCGCUAGUAAUCGCGCAUCAGCCAUGGCGCGGUGAAUACGUUCCCGGGCCUUGUACACACCGCCCGUCAAGCCAUGGAAGCCUGGAGUGCCUGAAGUGCGUGACCGCGAGGAGCGCCCAAGGGUAAGACAGGUGACUGGGGCUAAGUCGUAACAAGGUAG